CACAAAGGGAAAAAACGCAUUCCACUCCGU
rnacentral:piRNA from 1 species